rnacentral:rRNA from 1 species
AGAGUUUGAUCCUGGCUCAGAGUGAACGCUGGCGGCGUGCUUAACACAUGCAAGUCGAACGAGAACGGGAUAUAGCUUGCUAUAUUUGUCAGCUAAGUGGCGCACGGGUGAGUAAUAUAUAGGUAACAUGCCUUCGAGAAGGGGAUAACGUUUGGAAACGAACGCUAAUACCCUAUAUGCCUUUAAGUCUAAAGACUGCAAGGGAAAUAUUUAUAGCUCGAAGAUUGGCCUGUACGGUAUCAGCUUGUUGGUGAGGUAAUGGCUCACCAAGGCAAUGACACCUAACUGGUUUGAGAGGAUGAUCAGUCACACUGGAACUGAGACACGGUCCAGACUCCUACGGGAGGCAGCAGUGGGGAAUAUUGCACAAUGGACGAAAGUCUGAUGCAGCAACGCCGCGUGGAGGAUGACACAUUUCGGUGCGUAAACUCCUUUUAUAUGGGAAGAUAAUGACGGUACCAUAUGAAUAAGCACCGCUAACU